CGAUUGGCAGGAUGUGCAACACGCUGCUCGCUGUCCGAAACAUGAGAAUAUCAUUCUUCAGCAGUCUUUUAACAGUCUUUGGGAAAUCUGCAAGAUCACUUUUGUUUGGCACUUGUUGAGAGACGCGUGCGUGUGUCUCGCGCGUGAAGAACACUUUCUCCGUGUGCGCUGAGGCACGGGGCACCCUCCGAAGACGAGAGUCAGGCGAGCACUGCGAAUUGGCAUGCGAGCGAGCGCCGUGGUGGCCGGCCGCGAGGGGGGCUCGACUAUUAGCAUAAUGGUGCGCGGCAUGCAGCGCGCGGACUGGACGCGGACGGCGUGACCCAAGCCGCCGAUAGCGCCCGGAGAGGAUGUGGGUUAUCUCUUCAGCUGCCGAAACACCGGCACAUGCUCUACACGCCACAGCAUUCAUAGAGAAGUACAGAAAAUGUAAAAACUAGGGUCAAAAAACUGACACACGGCGGAAUUACACGGAAAAUCCCGAAGAAUAAAAAGAGAUUUGAACGCUGGUAAAAGAUUUAGUUUAACUUGACUUUCAAUAAAACCACUUUCGACUCAUCAAUGAACCCAUCAACGUUGUGAAAUUGCAAAUUCAGAUACGAAUUAAAUUUAUCAACACAAUCGAAUGAGAAUAAACGAUCGCAUGCGUUCGCCGCGUAGUGUUGGCGCAUGUGUGUUGGUGUAGUUGUAGAUGAGCACCGGAAUAAAUUCGUCUGACUUUCGAAAUGUCAAGGUUAUAACACGACGAAUUUGCUACAUUUGUAGCAUUUGUUUAUGUGAAUUCAGCGCACGUCGGUGCGGAUGAAUGAAGAAGGCGCAUUGUAAACAUGUUUAUUUUCGUGCGGGAAUUCAGCGCAAAUUCGGACAUUUUUAUUUUUAUGGCCGCGCGCGCGCGCGCAGAUGAAAAGUGAAAUGGGAAUGAAAAGCGCGAGAGCGCGCACGCUCCGACGCGGACCGAGAGGGAAAGCACAACACAACACAACGCAACGCUGCACAGAACUCUCACUUGGGCUUCAAUACAAGAAAUUGACUUACAUGGCAACACAACACCUGGAACAAAAUUGUUCAGAACAUAUACUGCAGCUUUUUAUACACUCUGGACACAAGGACACCUCACAAAACCAGCAAUUCCCUUGGAUGAAUUUAAUAUCAUUGCAUUCCACACACAAUCGAUGAGCAGGAGCAUUUGCAUCGGAGAGUGCCACCCCUGUUGGUGAUAACACAUUGUUGUUAUUCAUACCGGCAAAGAGUAAACUUAGGGUUUUAUCUGCGAAUUAAUAUAAUUAGACAUAACAAUUGCAAUCGCAUGCGUUGUUUACACUUGAUGAUGAUAUCUUCAACGAUCCUGUAAGUAAUUCAACAUUCAUUAUUUAACAGUCAUUUUUAAUCAUUCUCAAACUUACGUUUUAUCACCGGGGUUUUCAAGUCGUGGAAUGGCGGCCAAAGCUUCAUCAAAAUAAAAUUUCGCUUCCGAUGUUAAAUAUCCUUGGAAAACCUCGCGUAACAUUCGAAUAUCCGCCGUGGCUUGUUGAAUGCCUGCCGUGCUGAAAUUCCGCACGCAAUCCAUCAAUCUAUACAAUUCCUCAGCGAUUGUCUGCACAACUUGUGGUAAAACACUGUCUACCAACGCAGGCGAGAUACAAUUCACCUCACAAUGCACAUGUAUCAAAUUAUUUAUGCAUUCUUUCGCGUACGGACGAAUAUCUUUCGGUGUAAUAUUCGUAUCCCAAUCAAAACGUUCCAAAUACAUCGACGGUUCAAUAGUUCCCACAAGCGGAUCACUUUUUUCUUCUAAAUAAUACUCCAGGACAGAUUUCUCCAAUGAUUCUAACUUAGAUGCGCAGUUUUCAAAUGCUUGCUUUGGAACAGGAUAACCACUCUUCGCGAAACUCUCUUCUAAAUUUUUCAGAACAACUUGUCGAGUAUACUGACAAUUAGCCAAUGAAGUAAGUAAUCGUUUCUCCCACGUUGGCAGUGUUUUCUUGUUGGCGUUGUUUCGAUAAUUCGCAGGUGUACCAAUAAGUUGCGACACCACCGGCGAAGAAUCGUCAUCUUCGUUCUCUUCUUUCGCAGCUAAAUUCGCUAAAACCUUGUGGAAUACUCCCAAUAAUGCGUCGACUUGAUUAUCAAGCUCUUUAUGCGCUGUGGGGUUAUCCAACAAUGAACCUUCGCGUUGUUCACUUGUCAACACAGAUUCCCUGAUUAUUUGGAUCACUUCCUGCACGGCCUGCUCGAAUUUAAUCGGUAAUUCAGUAAUACCAUUGUGUUUGCCAUUGAAUUCAAUCCGCCAUGUUUCUUGCUUCGACAACUGUUCAAUUUGUUCCGCGGCUUGUUUAAAUAGAAUAUUCAUACAGUAAAUCCUCAAAUCAAGUAUAAAUGUGAAUACAAUAUCCAGCGCUUCAUUGGGUAAGUCCAACUUAAUCAAAAUGGCGUAGGUUGCACGCACGUGACGUAAGCAAGCCGGCAGCCACGGUUUUACAAGUUCUGUAUCACUCUGCGCCCAUGAUCCGAACGUUGCUUUGUCAUAGUUUUUAUCUAAAGUAUGUGGAAUAAUUGCAGCGCGUAAUGUUUUGCAAAACAUCUCCAUAAUUGCAAGCACAAUGUGUUUGAACUCCACUUGUCUGCCAGGUUCUAUUUUUACGUGUAAUUCGCCAGUGAAGUAACUCUGACCAAGUUUCCAUAGAUUAGGGAAUAAUUGCGAGACAAUUUCGCAUAGAUCUUCAACGAAUAAGACAGAUUCCGGCACUCCUGUCAUAUCUUGUGGCGUGUUAUUGAAUUUUGCGAAUUUAUUACCACUGCCUUUUAUUUUACUCUCAUCCAGGGUGGCUUCUUCGGCGUGUUUAUGCUCUGUGUAGCAUUCUUUAACGCGUUUGUUUAAAUAAUCGUUGUGGCUUUGUAUAGCGUCCCAUGCUGGUUCAUAGGCUGCUUCCAGGUUAACCAAAUGCCGAAUGAGGCGUUUUUGUUCUUCGACUGAGAUUGGCAUGCGUGUUAGUUUGCUGUGCAACAUUUCUUGGAGCAAAGCAACACGUCGUUCAAUUUCUACCAGCGCCAUUUUGAAUAUAGGCACGUCACUCUUAUUAAAUAGAUUUUUAACGCGCAUGUAGUCAUUGAUAACGAUAUCGUAGUCGCCUUUCUUUAUAUUGCGUUCGAUUACGCAGGGUAAACAGAAGAGAAAACGGAAACGUGAUAGGACAUUCAGUGCGUUUCGGGUCUUCUCAGCGCGAUCACGACGUGUUAAGACAUCAUCGAAUAGUUUUCUUGCUUCACGUUCCGAUUCUGAAUAAAAAUAUAUUUGUUUUAUAAAAUUAAGUAAAUUUUGAGUGUUUACAAACCUUUGAUUGCUUUUUCCAGUGUUAAAGUUGGUUCUGGUCCUUGUAUUCUUGCAUCUUUUUUGAAUUUCUCAUCCAGGAUCAUUGUAGUGUCCAAUUGGUCAAUGACAGAUGAAAUAUUUGCUUUUAGAAAAGAUAAUUGUCCUUCUUUCUGCCCAUCUACCUUCCUCCUUAGAUGUACCAUACUAAAAUAAACAAAAUAAUUAUUAUUUUCUUAAA